rnacentral:rRNA from 1 species
UACGGAGGGUGCAAGCGUUAUCCGGAUUCACUGGGUUUAAAGGGUGCGUAGGUGGGUUGGUAAGUCAGUGGUGAAAUCUCCAGGCUUAACUUGGAAACUGCCAUUGAUACUAUCAAUCUUGAAUACCGUGGAGGUCAGCGGAAUAUGUCAUGUAGCGGUGAAAUGCUUAGAUAUGACAUAGAACACCAAUUGCGAAGGCAGCUGGCUACACGAAUAUUGACACUGAUGCACGAAAGCGUGGGGAUCAAACAGGAUUAGAAACCCUAGGU